rnacentral:rRNA from 1 species
GAUGAACGCUGGCGGCGUGCCUAAUACAUGCAAGUCGAGCGAACAGACGAGGAGCUUGCUCCUCUGACGUUAGCGGCGGACGGGUGAGUAACACGUGGAUAACCUACCUAUAAGACUGGGAUAACUUCGGGAAACCGGAGCUAAUACCGGAUAAUAUAUUGAACCGCAUGGUUCAAUAGUGAAAGACGGUUUUGCCGUCACUUAUAGAUGGAUCCGCGCCGCAUUAGCUAGUUGGUAAGGUAACGGCUUACCAAGGCAACGAUGCGUAGCCGACCUGAGAGGGUGAUCGGCCACACUGGAACUGAGACACGGUCCAGACUCCUACGGGAGGCAGCAGUAGGGAAUCUUCCGCAAUGGGCGAAAGCCUGACAGAGCAACGCCGCGUGAGUGAUGAAGGUCUUCGGAUCGUAAAACUCUGUUAUUAGGGAAGAACAAAUGUGUAAGUAACUAUGCACGUCUUGACGGUACCUAAUCAGAAAGCCACGGCUAACUACGUG